AUUGAACGCUGGCGGCAGGCCUAACACAUGCAAGUCGAACGGUAGCACAGAGGAGCUUGCUCCUUGGGUGACGAGUGGCGGACGGGUGAGUAAUGUCUGGGAAACUGCCCGAUGGAGGGGGAUAACUACUGGAAACGGUAGCUAAUACCGCAUAACGUCGCAAGACCAAAGAGGGGGACCUUCGGGCCUCUUGCCAUCGGAUGUGCCCAGAUGGGAUUAGCUAGUAGGUGGGGUAACGGCUCACCUAGGCGGCGAUCCCUAGCUGGUCUGAGAGGAUGACCAGCCACACUGGAACUGAGACACGGUCCAGACUCCUACGGGAGGCAGCAGUGGGGAAUAUUGCACAAUGGGCGCAAGCCUGAUGCAGCCAUGCCGCGUGUAUGAAGAAGGCCUUCGGGUUGUAAAGUACUUUCAGCGAGGAGGAAGGCGUUGUGGUUAAUAACCGCAGCGAUUGACGUUACUCGCAGAAGAAGCACCGGCUAACUCCGUGCCAGCCGCCGCAGUAA
rnacentral:rRNA from 1 species